rnacentral:miRNA from 1 species
AGGGUGACCAACUGUCCUGGUUUGCCUGUGACUGAGGUGGUUAUUGGGGUAUGGGACUUUCA